rnacentral:rRNA from 1 species
GAUGAACGCUGGCGGCGUGCCUAAUACAUGCCAGUCGAGCGAACAGACGAGGAGCUUGCUCCUCUGACGUUAGCGGCGGACGGGUGAGUAACACGUGGAUAACCUACCUAUAAGACUGGGAUAACUUCGGGAAACCGGAGCUAAUACCGGAUAAUAUAUUGAACCGCAUGGUUCAAUAGUGAAAGACGGUUUUGCUGUCACUUAUAGAUGGAUCCGCGCCGCAUUAGCUAGUUGGUAAGGUAACGGCUUACCAAGGCAACGAUGUGUAGCCGACCUGAGAGGGUGAUCGGCCACACUGGAACUGAGACACGGUCCAGACUCCUACGGGAGGCAGCAGUAGGGAAUCUUCCGCAAUGGGCGAAAGCUUGACGGAGCAACGCCGCGUGAGUGAUGAAGGUCUUCGGAUCGUAAAACUCUGUUAUUAGGGAAGAACAAAUGUGUAAGUAACUAUGCACGUCUUGACGGUACCUAAUCAGAAAGCCACGGCUAACUACGUG